rnacentral:rRNA from 1 species
UACAGAGACCACGAGCGUUGUUCGGAAUUACUGGGCGUAAAGCGAGUGUAGGUGGUUGUCCAAGUUGGAUGUGAAAGCCUUGAGCUCAACUCAAGAAAUGCAUUCAGGACUGGGCGGCUAGAGGACCGGAGAGGAUAGUGGAAUCCCCAGUGUAGUGGUGAAAUACGUAGAGAUUGGGAAGAACACCAGUGGCGAAGGCGGCUAUCUGGACGGUUUCUGACACUAAGACUCGAAAGCGUGGGGAGCAAACAGG